rnacentral:rRNA from 1 species
AUGUUCCUCAAGCUUCGUGUCAUGCUCGUCUCCGUGCUCUUACUUUGUUACGGAACCUGCUCGGCCGCGGGCGUUUCAUCUCGUGAUGACACCCUGAACGAUGGCCGGCGCAACAUCACCGACGGCCAGACGCUCGUCUCGGCUGGUGGCGCCUUCACCCUAGGGUUCUUCUCACCGGGCGACCCCAACAGGAGGUACGUCGGGAUAUGGUUCUCCGCGUCCACGGACGCCGUGGUCUGGGUGGCCAACCGCGACAGCCCGCUCAACGACACCGCCGGCGUGCUGGAGAUCGACGGGGCAGGCAGGUUUCUCCUGCUCGACGGCUCCGGCCGGACCGCGUGGUCCUCCUUAAACACGACGACCGGUGGCGCUACUUCUUCUUCGUUGUCCGCGGAGGCGCGGCUGCUCGAGUCCGGCAACCUAGUGGUGGUGCGCGACGACGACGAAGAAGAAGGCGCCGUGCUGUGGCAGUCGUUCGACCACCCGUCCAACACCCUGAUCGCCGGCAUGCGGCUGGGCAGGAACCCGCAGACGGGCGCCGAGUGGUCCCUCAGGUCUUGGCGCUCCCCGGACGACCCGGCGACGGGGGACUGCCGGCGCGCCAUGGACACUCGGGGGCUGCCGGACUGCGUGUCGUGGCGCGGCGACGUCAAGAAGUACCGCACGGGGCCGUGGAACGGGCUGUGGUUCAGCGGCGUCCCGGAGAUGGCGUCCUACUCGGACAUGUUCACGAACCAGGUGGUGGUCCGGCCCGACGAGGUGGCCUACGUGUUCAACGCCACGGCGGCGGCGCCCUUCUCGCGGCUGGUGCUGAGCGAGGCCGGCGUGAUCCAGCGGCUGGCGUGGGACGGCGGCAGCCGGGUGUGGAACGUGUUCGCGCAGGCGCCGAGGGACGUGUGCGAUGACUACGCCAAGUGCGGCGCCUUCGGGCUGUGCAACGUCAACACGGCGGCCACGCUCUUCUGCGGGUGCGUGCAGGGGUACGUGCCCGUGUCCCCCGCGCACUGGUCCAUGAGGGAGGCCGCCGCCGGCUGCCGGAGGAACGUGCCCCUGCAGUGCCGCGACGGCGGCGCCACCACGGACGGGUUCGUGGUGGUGUCUGGCGUGAAGCUCCCUGACACUGACAAUGCGACGGUGGACGUCGGGGCGACGCUGGAGGGAUGCAGGGCGAGGUGCCUGGCCAACUGCUCCUGCGUGGCCUUCGCCGCCGCCGACAUCAGAGGAGGCGGCGGUGGCAGUGGCUGCGUCAUCUGGGUCGGGGACAUCGUCGACGUCCGGUACGUCGACAAAGGCCAGGAUCUCUAUGUGAGGCUGGCAAAAUCCGAACUAGCAGCUGCUAAUAAGAAGAGAUGGGGUAUGUUGAAGAUCUUGCUACCAGUCACAGCAUGUCUGCUUGUACUGAUGUGCAUCUGCCUUGUUUGGUUAUGCAAGUUCAGAGGUAGAAUUUCAGGAUGCAACAUUGUUGUGGCACUUAUGAGAAGAGGCAACCGUCGAAACAAGGAUGUCCAGGCAAAGUCGAUCCUAGGAGGAGCUUCAAACCAACUAAUUGGUGAUGAAAAUAUCGAGCUUCCAUUGAUUAGCUUUAGAGAUAUUGUUACCGCCACAAAUGAUUUCUCGAACGAGAACAUGCUCGGACAAGGAGGCUUUGGGAAGGUUUACAAGGGAAUCUUGGAAGAUGAAAAAGAAGUCGCUAUCAAAAGGCUCAGUAAGAGUUCUGGACAAGGAGCGGAGGAAUUCAGAAAUGAAGUUGUUCUAAUUGCCAAGUUGCAGCAUAGGAACCUUGUCAGGCUUCUUGGUUAUUGUAUUCAUGAAGAUGAGAGGCUGCUGAUUUACGAGUACUUACCAAACAAAAGCUUGGAUGUCUUCAUUUUUGACGCUGCAAGUAAGUAUGUCCUUGAUUGGCCAACAAGGUUUCAAAUAAUCAAAGGGGUAGCUAGAGGACUUCUUUAUCUCCACCAAGACUCAAGGCUGACCAUAAUUCAUAGAGACCUUAAAUCAAGCAACAUCUUGUUAGAUGUGGAUAUGAGCCCAAAGAUAUCCGAUUUCGGUAUGGCAAGAAUCUUUGGUCGUGACCAACAAGAAGCAAAUACUAACCGAGUUGUUGGGACAUAUGGUUACAUGUCUCCUGAAUAUGCGAUGGAUGGCGCCUUCUCUGUCAAGUCCGAUACUUACAGCUUUGGUGUUCUACUCUUGGAGAUCAUAAGUGGUCUGAAGAUUAGCUUACCUCACCUCUCAGAAUUUCCAAACCUCUUAGCUUAUGCAUGGAACUUAUGGAAUGAUGGGAAGCCAAUGGAUAUGGUUCACUCUUCCAUUGCUGAUAACUGUUCACCAACUGAAGUUCUACGGUGUAUUCAUAUAGGCCUCUUAUGUGUGCAAGAUAAUCCUUACAAUAGGCCACUCAUGUCAUCAGUUGUGUUCAUGUUAGAGAAUGAAACCACGGAACUUUCAACCCCAAGACAACCCGUGUAUUUUGCAUACAGGAACUCUGAAGCAAAAGAAACAGGGGAAAAUACCAGCAGCUCAAUGAAUAACAUGAGUGUCACGAUGUUCGAAGGGCGGUAG